rnacentral:tRNA from 1 species
UAAAUAGAAGCUGAAGCUUAGCGCCUAACUGUUAAUUAGGAAGAUGUAGAAUAGUAUCUACCUGUUUAG